CCGCGUGAGUGAUGAAGGUUUUCGGAUCGUAAAGCUCUGUUGUUAGGGAAGAACAAGUGCGAGAGUAACUGCUCGCACCUUGACGGUACCUAACCAGAAAGCCACGGCUAACUACGUGCCAGCAGCCGCGGUAAUACGUAGGUGGCAAGCGUUGUCCGGAAUUAUUGGGCGUAAAGGGCUCGCAGGCGGUUUCUUAAGUCUGAUGUGAAAGCCCCCGGCUCAACCGGGGAGGGUCAUUGGAAACUGGGAAACUUGAGUGCAGAAGAGGAGAGUGGAAUUCCACGUGUAGCGGUGAAAUGCGUAGAGAUGUGGAGGAACACCAGUGGCGAAGGCGACUCUCUGGUCUGUAACUGACGCUGAGGAGCGAAAGCGUGGGGAGCGAACAGGAUUAGAUACCCUGGUAGUCCACGCCGUAAACGAUGAGUGCUAAGUGUUAGGGGGUUUCCGCCCCUUAGUGCUGCAGCUAACGCAUUAAGCACUCCGCCUGGGGAGUACGGUCGCAAGACUGAAACUCAAAGGAAUUGACGGGGGCCCGCACAAGCGGUGGAGCAUGUGGUUUAAUUCGAAGCAACGCGAAGAACCUUACCAGGUCUUGACAUCCUCUGACAACCCUAGAGAUA
rnacentral:rRNA from 1 species